rnacentral:misc_RNA from 1 species
AACGCAUAUUGCGCCUUUUGGUAUUCCGAGAGGCAUGCCUGUUUGAGAAUCAUUUUAGUCUUCAACCUCUUGAAAGGGAGGAUGGAUUUGAGCUGUCGCAGUAGCGUAGCUUUGAAUUGAAUGAUCUGUGGAAAGAGUGAUUUCCUCAUAGAGAAGCUUUAUUGAUUGUGACUGUCUUUGCCUGCGUAAGUGGGUAGGAUGCGAACAUGUAUCGCUGGUCUGUGAAGAGUAUGGUUGCUCUGGACGUGGACCCAAUGUAACCUGCUGUAUCCCUAGGGACGGCAGGACCUAUCGAACUUUCGAGUUCAGAUUCUUGGUCUCAAAUCAGGCAAGAGUACCCGCUGAACUUAA